rfam:Sorghum bicolor cultivar BTx623 chromosome 3, whole genome shotgun sequence.
GUAGUCGGAUUUACAUCAGUCCACAUGUGUUGAGGUGGAUUGGAGUGGAACUUGAACUAAAUUCCACCCAAUCCACACCAACACACAUGGAUUGAAGUGAAUCCGACA